CGAAGGAUCCAAGCGUUGUCCGGAUUUACUGGGUUUAAAGGGUGCGUAGGCGGACUUUUAAGUCAGUGGUGAAAGCCUGUAGCUUAACUAUAGAAUUGCCAUUGAAACUGAAAGUCUCGAGUGUGGUUGAGGUAACUGGAAUAUAUCAUGUAGCGGUGAAAUGCUUAGAUAUGAUAUAGAACACCAAUUGCGAAGGCAGGUUACUGAGCCAUUACUGACGCUGAGGCACGAAAGCGUGGGGAUCAAACAGGAUUAGAUACCCUGGUAGUCCACGCCGUAAACGUUGCAUACUCGAUCUUAGCGAUACACAGUUAGGAUCCAAGCGAAAGCGUUAAGUAUGCCACCUGGGAAGUACGAUCGCAAGAUUG
rnacentral:rRNA from 1 species